AAACCUGGCAGGGAGACAUCAGGAUGAGAGAGGUAGCCUUUCCAGGGUGAGGCUCACCCAUUGCACUCAGGGUGCGCCGAUCCCUGUGGUGUCCCCCCAAUUCCGGGAACUCGGCUGUAUGAUUUGUGGUAGUGGGAGACUGU
rnacentral:snRNA from 1 species